AAGUCGUGAACCUGCGGCAGGAUCAACCCUGUGAACUUCAACCCCGCCGGAAUGAGAUUAAUUUCCAACUCCGGCGAAGACAAGUGACCUGGCACCUGACCUCAUCAAAGCUCUGACAGCGUGCCUCUGGAUGCUUAAUGGAAGGGUGACGCAGUAACGGCCCACACGGCCGGCGACCGGGUCAGCGGCAUUCUUUAAUGUUAACAAUGGAUAUCUUGGUUCUC
rnacentral:misc_RNA from 1 species